UACGGGGGGAGCAAGCGUUGUUCGGAUUUACUGGGCGUAAAGGGCGCGUAGGCGGCCACCGCAAGUCAAUUGUGAAAUCUCCGGGCUUAACUCGGAAAGGUCAACUGAUACUGCGGGGCUAGAGUGCGGAAGGGGCAACUGGAAUUCUCGGUGUAGCGGUGAAAUGCGUAGAUAAUCGAGAGGAACACCUGCGGCGAAGGCGGGAUUGCUGGGC
rnacentral:rRNA from 1 species